GAUGAACGCUAGCGGCAGGCUUAAUACAUGCAAGUCGUGGGGCAGCAGGUCUGUAGCAAUACAGAUGCUGGCGACCGGCAAACGGGUGCGUAACACGUACGCAACCUUCCCGUUACUGGGGAAUAGCCCAGGGAAACUUGGAUUAAUACCCCAUAUUAUAUUGGUUAGGCAUCUGACUGAUAUCAAAGCUUCGGCGGUAACGGAUGGGCGUGCGGUUGAUUAGGUAGUUGGCGGGGUAACGGCCCACCAAGCCUACGAUCAAUAGCUGAUGUGAGAGCAUGAUCAGCCACACGGGCACUGAGACACGGGCCCGACUCCUACGGGAGGCAGCAGUGAGGAAUAUUGGGCAAUGGACGAAAGUCUGACCCAGCCAUGCCGCGUGAAGGAUGAAGGUCCUCUGGAUUGUAAACUUCUUUUAUCUGGGGCGAAAAUCGGUUAUUCUUAGCCGCUUGACAGUACCAGAUGAAUAAGCACCGGCUAACUCCGUGCCAGCAGCCGCCGCGGUAA
rnacentral:rRNA from 1 species